UCGGAUUUCUAAUCUUGUGUGUUGUAAUUACGGUGUUAAAUGUGCAAGAGCAAAGUGAAUAGAUGAGAUGGCAUAACUAGAAAGAAUUUGUGGAAGAGAGCUGAGCAGAAAAAGGCUCUGUCAAAGCCAAAAAGGAUGCAUGCCAAUGUUGUUUCUCUUGGCAUAGGUCAAAAAGCAGACUGUGUGACAAGAGAGAAAUUUGAGAACACUGAGAUAAUGCCCAAUUAGAUCAUGCAGUUCACCUCCCUGGGGCCUGUGACAGACUGUGCACAGUGCCUCCCCUUGGUGAGACCACAGCGUUCAGUCCUGAUCAAAGGGCUGCAGCACUGAGUUUGAGAUGAACUGCACAGUGGUGUGAUCCCUGCUACUGAGGAAAAGGACUGCAGCAUGAUCUAUGUGCCAGGAGAGAUGAACUGAGGAGAAUCAUGAACAAUAGAAUCAUUCCAAGAUUCCUAAACUUAUGGAAAUUGAUGGUAAAAUCUUUAUUCUGUGCCAUUCCUACGCUUUGAGAUGGUGCCUCAUUCUGAAUGCAACAUAAAUGUCUGUAACAUGAAAGAUACAGAUUGGUUUGGCUGUUGAAGAAAAGAUAGUUGAAUGUUUUGCCUUCUUGAGAAAAGUAGGAAAUGACCUGGGACUGGG
rnacentral:lncRNA from 12 species